rnacentral:lncRNA from 1 species
GUAAAACCUCACUGUCCCCCUGGGGAGCUUGAGGCUGAGGGUUCAAGGAGCCAUCCCAGAGCUGGUUUAAAGGUAAAAUGGUGUCUGUGUCUUUAAUUUAAACUCCCUGAGGAUUUUCCCACGUGACCAAACUGUUCACACCAUCUGCACUGGCCCUGGACUAAAUAGCACCACAAACUCUUCUUGCAAUCAUAGAAUGAGAAAGGGCCGACUCCUAUGUAGAUCAACUAGGAGUUCCUUUGAGUUUGUUGAGAUGAAAAGUGCUUAGAACAGUAACUCACCUAAUAAAUUCUCAGUACACUUCACCACCACCUGGUUAAGAUCAACAUUUCUUAUUGUGUACUAUAUAUCCUGAGAUAGUGGAACUGUGUGCCUUUCCAGUGGUCUGAUGGCUUUCCAACAGCCCUGUUCAUAGCCCAUGGUCCUCAUCCCUGCCACCUGCUCCUUCUCCCACAUCCUUGGGCAGUGGUUUGCAGACAGGUGCCCACCAGCAUCAUUUGCAGGUCAUCAUCUCAUUUGACCUCCUUCUUCACCUGAGGCUGCUGGCCUCUCUUCCCUGGUUCCCAGGCACUGCUCAUGUGAUUUGCUCUCCUGGGCCCUUCUCCACAUUGAUAGAAGGGAGCUGAGCCAUUGUGGUUGGAUGCUAAACACCAGAACACAUUUACAGUCCUGCAGAACUUCUAGC